rnacentral:lncRNA from 1 species
CAGAGACAUAGGCGGAGGGAGAAGCAGGCUCCACUCAGGGAGCCCGACGCGGGACUCGAUCCUGGGACCCCAGGAUCACGCCCUGGGCCGAAGGCAAGCACCAAACCACUGAGCCACCCAGGGAUCCCCAAUAAAUUAUUUUUAAUAGCUGUCUAGUAUCUGAGGUUCUCUCUCUGGAUUCACCUGAGUUGAAAUUAAGAGCUUCUCCAAGACAUUCUCCAAGAGGUGGAGAGUCCAGUGUUGCCCCAGUGCAAGUGAACGAAGACUCCAGGAGUUGGAAAUCACAGACAAACUCUGCAAAUCUAUAUCCUCAGUUAGAAGAAUAGCCUCACAGCUCAUGCAGUGUUGACAGGGGUCAGCAAUGUUCUCAGGCCACUAAGAAGCUAC